AACGCAUCUUGCACUAUUCGGCUUCCCCGGAUAGUAUGCCUGGUUGAGUGUCUGUGUAUCUCUCCUAUAUCAAUCUUUUUUGGUUGAUCAAUAGGGACUUGGGGUUAUUCUCGUCGGUAUACUCUAACCAGUAUCUCGGUGAACCCUUUAAAUGUAGCAAGCUCCCAUCUUUCAUCGGAAAUACGCAAACUUGGGGAUGGCGUCGUAGCAAUCACUCUUAUCAGUAUUGUCGAAGCGCCUAUAUCAUACCUCUAAUCUGCGGUGCUAAUCCUUUUUCAUUUGGGCGAAGCUUGACGACUGGCAAAGUGCCAUGCUCCCUUUAUUUGGAGUACACGAACAAUAAUGACCUCAACUCAGGUAGGACGACCCGCUGGACUUAA
rnacentral:misc_RNA from 1 species